UUCAUCGAUAUCAAGAGGUUGUUUGAACGAGGGGAUAGUGAAGCAGGUAUUGCUCAGUGCAAAUCUCUUCUCAACGCUGGCUCUGAUCUAGUUCGCUCGGGAGACAUCUACUCGGUGAUGAUCGAAUAUGCAGCGAAGAAGAACGACUGGAAAACGGCUCUUCAUUUGGCUCAAGAGCUGAAGAAACUGCAGCCGAAUGACAAUCUAUCAUACUAUAUACCCAAAGAUAUUCUGGUGCACUUGGGAAUGCAUGCGGAGCGGUCUAUUGAUUCUCCGCCAGAGGACAACAUCGAGGAAGACCUACCACAAAUAGCUGCAGUUUGAAGAUUUUUAACCCAUGGUUGUUCAUUGUUAUUUUUUCUUUUGUUGAAAAAAAUCAGUACAACGAAUAUUUUAAUUGUACAACGAACCUAUGCUGAUGAGGUGAUUAUCCACUUUUUUUUAAAAUAAUGAUUGAUUCCGUCCACAAAUUAGUAACGCAACUGUGAUCUUUUUAGCUCUUAUUUUAUACUAUUUAUUUUGCUCACUUAUUUGUGAUAUUGAUCUCAAAAACAAAGGUAAGCCUUUUUCAGCAUCACAAAAUGCGCUUUGAAUGAAUUUCCUGCUCUCUUAUCUUGAAGUCUGUGUAAAUAGAUUAGCUUUGGUAUUUAAAAGGGAAUUACAGUGAAUUGCAACAUCAGAUGCUGGCGCAGACCUGCCUGCCCAGAACUGGACUUAGGACAUUACGACACUGAAACCACAGGUAUCUCAUUUGCAAUGUUUAAAAAUCUCCCCUCCCCCCUUUUUUUUGAAGGGAACCAAACAAAUCAAUAUCAUUCCUUGAAGUUUCCUCAGUUUUCUUUCCAUAGAGAAGCAAAACCCUGGAAGUUUUCAAGAAUUGAUGUUGAGUAGUUUUACCUUUAAAAAACAGAGGACGACAGGAAAUCUGCAGUGUUGCAAACCAAGAUACGUGGUCUGGUAGUUUCACUGUUGAUUAUCAUCCUAUUUCUCUGCUUAGUCCAACAUCCUUGGUGCAUGCGUUGUUAACUUAUCUUGUUGCUUACCAGCAGAUAAAAAUUCGCCCACACCUUUUUGUACACUCUUCAAAAGUGUGAUUACUCCUACAGAUUUGGAUUGAGCUAGCAAUUCAAAUGAAAAGAAUAUAGAAAUAUUAUGAGCAAGUAUAAUGGUCUGCAAAUGAUUAAAUAACUGCAAUAUUUUCGUUUUCUAAUUUAUUCAAUAAUAUUCAUAAUGUCCAUUAUAUUUACUCGUAAUGAAAUAUAUUUUUCCUCUAUACUGCGAGCUAAAUCCAAAUCUUAAAAAAUAUUCACACUUUUAUAAGAGCAAAAAAGUUGUGGGAAAAUUAGCUUUGAUCAGUAAGCGAGGAGACAAGUGGACAGGGGAUACUCUAGGGAUGUCGGAGAGGGUGAAGUAAAAAUGGACGUAUUUCUGCCAAACGGAACUAUGUGCAUUAUUAUGUGAGCCCUUUUAUGCUUAUAUUCUUAUGGGUCUCAGGGUUUGUGUUUUGUUGCACAUAGUUCCUUAUGGCAGAAAUACGUCCAAAUGAGACAAUGGCCCAAUAUACCGGGUUCUGGGCAGGGUUAUGCUUGCUAGCAUCAGAUGUUGCCAUGCUAGGUGUUUAAGAAAAUGCCCUUUUUAAAACAGUGUCCAGUCUAUUUGCACUGAUCAUAGGAUGAAUUGUAGGAUUUGCAAGCAAAGCGGAAUACGGAAAGCAGUUUUCUUUGUCAGAGAUGCAGAUAAAAAUGUUUUGAGAAAAUUAAUUUUGAGGGAAAUGUGCAUUUGUGAGGUGUGAUAUCUGUAAAUGCCUCACAUCUUUCUGGUCAUGUUUAAUCAAGUUUUUAAGCUACAACAAGUGUCAUUUUUGGGGUAAUUUAUGAGUAUUUCAUGUCAAUUAAACAUAUCAGUUUAGUAAUAAUUCGUCUACAUUUUUUCUACGAUUUUUCCAAAGAAGCUCUUCAAUUGAAUCGGCUCGUGCGAAAACGUCCGUUAUCCAAUAUAGGGUUUCAUAAUCGCUGAGUUUUUUUUUUUUUUGUCC
rnacentral:lncRNA from 1 species